UGAGCAAUCUGCCCUUCUCUUUGGAAUAAGCGUUGGAAACGACGUCUAAUGCCGAAUACGACCUCCUUUCGCAUGAUCGGAGGUGGAAAGCUCCGGCGGAGAAGGAUGAGCUCGCGGCCUAUCC
rnacentral:rRNA from 1 species